rnacentral:lncRNA from 1 species
GAUUACGGUGGUCCGGUCGGGACGUUGCGUCGGGAGGGAAGCUUUUCCGCAACGUCGGGAAGAAGUAACCCCAUCCUUGUACCUGCACACAGGUCAGGUUGGAAGCUCGGCCCGACCCCUCCGACGAUCAAGUUAGUGAUGGGAAGUGGUAUGUUCUUCUGUCCUCAUUCCAUCGUUUAGAACUCGGGGGUAUUUAUAGGGAAGUUUAGUGUUACCUAAUGUGCCUGCCCGUAGGAGCAGGAUCGUACCUCUGAUGGCGUCUGACAUUGCUGUUGGCGUUGCGUGAAGAACCGAACUGCCGCAGGGCAUGGGCGUGCCUCGAUCGUCGUUCUCC